rnacentral:lncRNA from 1 species
ACACGAAGAGCACCACACAGAGCGGCAGGUAGAAGGCGCCUACGGUGGAGAACACGGCGUAGGAAGGCUCGCGGCUUACCUGGCACUCCUCGCUGCCCUCAGAGUACGUCUCUCCCCAGCCAAAAAGCAGCGGGGCCAGAGAGAUGACAGCGGAGAGUGCCCAGGUGAGCGCGAUCAUGACGUUGGAGACGCACUUGCGGGUGCGGAGCGUGUAUUCCAUGUGGCGCGUGAUGGACCAGUAGCGGUCCAGGGCUAUGGCCGUCACGUUCCAGAUGCUGGCCGUGCAGCAAAGCACGUCGCACGCGAUCCAAAGCUGGCACAGCCUCCGACCUAGCUGCCAGCGGCGCCCGGACAGCUCGUGCACCAGGCUCAGCGGCAUGACCAGCGCGGCCACCAGGACAUCCGAGACGGCCAUGGAUGCCACCAGGUUGUGGGGCACGCGGUGGAAGGUGCGUACACGGAGGAUGGUCGCCAGCACCAGCAGGUUCCAGGCGAACGUCGCCGCCACCAGAAAGCCCAGCAAGAGUAAAACAAGUAUCAGGAGAAUGCACUGAGAAAAGAGAAAGUCCUCCACUGGAACCUAGAGGACGGGACAACAUCAUUAAAUACCGGAUUAUUCACAGGGCUGUUUCAAACACCACUUAAAAACAGCUGAUGGUGACUGCCUGCAUGCAGAGCAACUGUGCAUGGCCCCAAUCUGGAAGCAAGCUUGUGCUUCUUUAAGGCAAAUCACCUUCUUGAGGUCAUGGAACUAAUGGGAAUGAGAUGUAAACUAUGAAUCCUCUUCUUUGGAAAAAGUUCUGCAUCUAGUCUCAGGGCCUGUUAUCUGGAGGAAUGGAUGAACUGUGUUGCCCACAGGCGGGCCUCAAUGGAUCUCUAUGAAUCUUGAAAGGCAUUAUGGGCUUGUGAUUAUAUUCCCUACUGAUUCCCCAGGCCACAGCUGUCUGUAUUGAUAGCUAAGUGAGCAGCAGAAUAGUUAAUAAGGACAAAGCCAAGGAUGACUGAGGAUAAUUUGUGAAAAAUAGAGUGUCAUAAAUUUAGGGACUGAAUAGAAUAUUCCCACAAAGGAGAGAUCCAAUGGAGCAUUUCCAGAAGGGACAAACCCUGUUCAGAAAGUCUGGCUUAUCUCUUAAAAAUACACAAAUAAAAAAUCAUAAUAUUUCAGCUUCAUCUUAAAGCAUAGCCCCAAUUUUAUCUUGAAAAACACUGAAAAGGAAAAGAAUCUGAAAAGGUAUAAAACUCCCGUCUGCCAUAUGGUACCUCUGAAAUGGCAGUAUUGGGAAAUAUACCUUCCUGGGUUGUCACCUCUUAUGGGUUAAACUGUGUCUCUCCUUCCCCCCUCCCUUACCCCCUGCCAGAUUUAUAUAUGGAAGUCCUAACCCCUAGAACCUCAUAGUGUGACUAUAUUUAGAAAUAAGAUCUUUAAAGGGAUGAUUAAGUUAAAAUGAGGCCAUAGGAUAGGGCCUCAUUCAAUCUGACUGACAUCCUUAUGAAAAGAGGAAAUUUAGACAUGCAAAGAGACACCAAGGAUGUGUGUGUGCAUAGGAUAGACCACGUGAGAAUAAAGCAAGAAGGUGGCCAUCUACAAGCCAAGGAGAGAGACAUUAGAAGAUACCAGUAUUGGAAGAUUAGAAGAUAUCAAGAUUGGAUUUCCAGCUGCCAGAACUAGGAAAAAAUAAAUUUCUAGUAUGAGCCACUCAGUCUGUGGUAUUUUGUUAUGGCAGCCCUAGCAAGCUAAUAUACCAUCCGACAAAAGAUACUAGCAAAAGAUACAACCACAUAACUGAACGAGGUGCUAUACUGGAGAAGAGGGAAUUAUAGACAUAUAAACAAAUCAUGGGACAUCUACUAAAACCUUUCCAAAAGGUAGUUUGCAGCCAUCUAGCAAUCAUUCGAGUGCAGACUCAGUUGUCUAUUGAGGUUACUUACGGUUUGUAAUCAAGUCAUGUCACUGGCUUAUAGAAAAAUACUUAUUUUAGAUUUUUCUAUAAUGGGAAGGUAUGAAUCUAUUUCAUUCAAGUAGGAGCUGAUUUUUUGGUUUGUUUUUGCUUCUGUUUUUUGAGACAGAGUCUCACUCUGUCAUCCAGGCUGGAGUGCAGUGGCACAAUCUUGGCUCACUGCAACUUCCAUCUUCCGGGUUCAAGCGAUUCCCAGCUAAGUUUUUUGUAUUUGUAGUAGAGAUGGGGAUUUUACCAUGUUGUCCAGGCUGGUCUCGAACUCCUGACCUCAAUUGAUCCAUCCCCAUCAGCCUCCCAAAUUGUUGGAAUUACAGGCCUAAGCCACCACACCCGGCCAAGACCAACGAAUUUUAAUGUAACAGCAUAAUAAACAUGCAUGAUACAAUUUCAGAUUCCACAUCACAACAAAUCUUUAAGGUGCUACCACUCAUUGAGUUUUAAUAUAGCAUCACAGAAAAAAUAUCCAUAAUUAUCUGAAAAUAGUAUUAAAGUACUCUAUUGUCUGCUGUAUAUCUGUAUGAAAGUGGAUGUUCUUCACAAUCUUAAACUAAAAUAACAUAUCCCAACAGAUGGAAUGUAGAAACAUAUGAUGUUCUAGCUGUCUUGAAGAGAUUUGCAAAAAUGUUAAUGCUAUUCAGAAAUAUUUUAUGAAAAAUAAUUAUUUUUCAUAAUGAGGUAUCACUUAUAUAGACAUGUAAUGGGUUUAUUUUAUUUUUAAUAAACAAAUACACAAAUAUGUUGAA